rnacentral:rRNA from 1 species
CGCCUAAUACAUGCAAGUCGAACGAAGUAGCAAUACUUAGUGGCAGACGGGUGAGUAACAUGUAGGUAUCUUCCCAUUGGUGAGGAAUAACACGAGGAAACUUGUGCUAAUACCUCAUAAGUCUUUACGGAGAAAGCUUUAUGCGCCGAUGGAUGAGCCUGCACUUGAUUAGUUUGUUGGUAGGGUAAUGGCCUACCAAGACAAUGAUCAAUAGCUGAUUUGAGAGGAUGAUCAGCCACAUUGGGACUGAGACACGGCCCAAACUCCUACGGGAGGCAGCAGUAGGGAAUCUUGCACAAUGGGGGAAACCCUGAUGCAGCGAUGCCGCGUGAGUGAAGAAGGCCUUUGGGUUGUAAAGCUCUUUCGUCGGGGAAGAAAAUGACUGUACCCGAAUAAGAAGGUC